CAGUCCCCCGAGCGGUUGCCGACUAGGUCUGGCCCAGCAGUCGCUGAUGGCGCCCGGCGGGGGAGGCGGGCCUGGCCGGGUCGCCGCCGGCGGUACCUCAGAGCACGCGAGGAGGAUAAGGGAACGAUGCGCGUCGCGCUGCCGCCCCACUCCUCCAUGAACGGCGCGGUGGGACCUCACCGGCACACCCUUGCCAGCACCCCCGGUUCGCCCGGCCCGGCACCCGCGCUGGGGGCCGCGGGGAAGCCGCGGCCCCUAGACGAUAAAAUGGCCGCAGUAAGGCUGCGCCCGGUAAUGCCUCGGGCUCUCCCUCUCUCCCCUUGAUCAGCUCGGAAGCGGCAGCUUUUGGGAGAUCCCUGUGAACUCUAGUCCUGUCCUUAACCUCGGAAGACUGGAAUACGAUUCCCAAAGAUGUGUAAGAAGACUUUCAUAUCUGUGUAAAAGUCCAAAGUUCUUCUUAGUCUUUUUCUUCUUUUCUACAAGAUGAGGAACGUCAUUCUGAGAUAUUACUUCCCCUGCUAGAAGGAUGUGGAUGUCCACUGCUAUUUUUGAAGAUGUCAUUUACGUUCUUUAAUGGAGGUGUAUCCUAACAGCACCAAUCCACAUGAAACAGAGUAAUUGUCAAAUGGUGGAGUGCGUAUUUAGAAGGCUCAAUGCAACAUGAAGUUUUCAAUGCAAGAUGAAGUUUUCUCGAGAAUUAUAUGGAUAGCCAAACUAUGAUUAGUAAGAUUCCUAUGAAAUAAGAGCUAAGAAAUACUCAUGGAGUCAUGGCCUCAGCCCUGAUAAUCUGUAGAAAACUUUGGAUAAGCAGUAAGAGCCCUGAAAGAGGGGAGGUUAAAGAAAUGGGAGUUGUCUUGUAUAAUACUGUAUAAGGACAUCUCAGCGGGAGGGGAUGUUCUAACUCAUAGUGAUUUGUGAGUUCUGCAGGAUUUGUUAACAAGCUGUCCCAGUUUAUAAAGUGGCCUAUCACAAGCAUGUGUUGUAACUUUGAAGAUUCUCUAAGUCUUUAUGCUCUUUGAUAAAUGACAGUGUUAUGUAUUCUUUCUUUGAUUCAUUCCAGGCAUAUAUAAUCCUUAUCAUUAGCUACAUGUAUAAAAAUUAGAUUAAUCUGGUUGUCAUUGGUGUAGUAUUCCUAAUGGGUACCAUCAGGUUGUAGCCUCUUUCAAGUAGUCACAUGUAGCUGUUAAAACAAGGAGGCCAAGAGGCCUUGAGACAAUGGGGUCAGGGAAUAGCUGCUACCACGCCAAGUCCUGUCAGAAAUCAUUGCAGCCUCUAUAAUAACACACUCAUGUCGCAUAAAAAUGUCUGUAGCAUUGCUAUUAAUUUUGUCAAAAGCUAAGGAGAUGUUAACUGCUCUGAACAUAACCAGGGUAUGAUCGGCCUGUAGAUUUUUACGGGAGUGGGUUAGACUGGUUUUAGUGCUUCACUCCUUUUUCUGUGAAAAAUUCUUGAGAGUCACUUUGGUAGUUAUUUGUCUUUUUUGGCUGCAUGAGGUCUACAGGAGUUUUUAAACAUAUUGUGAACAUAUGUAAGCAUAUUACUCAGACUAGUGCUCAGAAAAAAGGUAGUCUUCCUUUUAAUAUUAUGAAGACAUUAAUCACUAUUUCUUUUUUUCAGAAAACCCUGUAAUUUGUGAUUAAGUUUGCUUGCUUUAAUAUAUCGAAUUAUGUAAAUUUCUCUAAAAGGUACUUAGAUCACAAGCACUGUUUUCUUUAAUUUUAAACAAAACAAAGAUAGAAGCUAUGAAAACUGAUCAGUUUUCUGCCAGUUUGAAGAUGUAUGUACUUUGACUGAGGAUUUAUGGUUGCUAAAACAAUGUGAAAUUUUAGCAGCCUGUUUAAAUUACAGUUACCGUAUGAGGACAUUUGAAAUGGAGCUGACCUAUUAUUAAUGUCUGUGCUGUUUGCUGCCUUGUAGUAUUGAAGCUAAAUGUAUUGAUUUUCAGCAUAGAAAAGUUUUAAAGUGCUGUAUCAGUUUUCAUCAUAAAAAUUCCAGACUCUGUACCACCCACAAGGAUGAAUAGAUUGUAAUCAUUCUAGGGAAAAUUCAGCGAGUGAAAUAGAAUCUUCUUAAGAAUAGAUUGUAUAAUUUCAGGGAAGGAAAACUAAAUCUUAUUCAUUACUCAUAAGUAGUUUUCCAAGAGAAAAAAUUGCCACUGAAAUCAUCAUCAUGACACUUGAAAUAUAUUGGGAAGAAAUUCGGUGUUGUGGAAGGUUUCCUUUAUUACUACUUGAAACUCUGAUCCUUUCAUACAGUGGAAGAUUCAAGGAUGCCUUAGAACAAUAUAUAUGCUAUUUAUAUUAAACUGUAUUAAAGUG